rnacentral:rRNA from 1 species
UACGUAGGGGGCAAGCGUUGUCCGGAAUCAUUGGGCGUAAAGAGCGCGUAGGCGGCCCUGUAAGUCCGCUGUGAAAGUCAAGGGCUCAACCCUUGAAUGCCGGUGGAUACUGCAGGGCUAGAGUCCGGAAGAGGCGAGUGGAAUUCCUGGUGUAGCGGUGAAAUGCGCAGAUAUCAGGAAGAACACCCGUGGCGAAAGCGGCUCUCUGGAACGGUACUGACGCUGAGACGCGAAAGCGUGGGGAGCGAACAGG